GUAACGGCGAGUGAAGCGGCAACAGCUCAAAUUUGAAAUCUGGCUCUCGGGCCCGAGUUGUAAUUUGCAGAGGAUGCUUUGGGCGCGGUUCCCUCCGAGUUCCCUGGAACGGGACGCCAUAGAGGGUGAGAGCCCCGUACGGUCGGACGCCAAGCCUAUGUAAAGCUCCUUCGACGAGUCGAGUAGUUUGGGAAUGCUGCUCAAAAUGGGAGGUAAAUUUCUUCUAAAGCUAAAUACUGGCCAGAGACCGAUAGCGCACAAGUAGAGUGAUCGAAAGAUGAAAAGCACUUUGAAAAGAGGGUUAAAUAGCACGUGAAAUUGUUGAAAGGGAAGCGCUUGUGAUCAGACUUGCGCCUGGUAAAUCAUCUAGCGUUCUCGCUAGUGCACUUUGCCGGCACAGGCCAGCAUCAGUUCGCUGUCGGGGACAAAAGCUUCAGGAACGUGGCUCUCUCCGGGGAGUGUUAUAGCCUGCUGCACAAUACCCUUCGGCGGACUGAGGUACGCGCUCCGCAAGGAUGCUGGCGUAAUGGUCAUCAGCGACCCGUCUUGAAACACGGACCAAGGAGUCAACCUUAUGUGCGAGUGGUUUGGGUGUCAAACCCCUACGCGUAAUGAAAGUGAACGUAGGUGAGAGCUUCGGCGCAUCAUCGACCGAUCCUGAUGUCUUCGGAUGGAUUUGAGUAAGAGCAUAUAAGGGUUGGACCCGAAAGAAGGUGAACUAUGCGUGUAUAGGGUGAAGCCAGAGGAAACUCUGGUGGAGGCUCGCAGCGGUUCUGACGUGCAAAUCGAUCGUCAAAUAUGCGCAUGGGGGCGAAAGACUAAUCGAACCUUCUAGUAGCUGGUUUCCGCCGAAGUUUCCUCAGGAUAGCAGUGUUGAACUCAGUUUUAUGAGGUAAAGCGAAUGAUUAGGGACUCGGGGGCUACUUUUUGCCUUAUCCAUUCUCAA
rnacentral:rRNA from 1 species